UACAGAGACUGCAAGCGUUAUUCGGAUUCACUGGGCGUAAAGGGUGCGUAGGCGGUUCGUUAAGUCUGUUGUGAAAUCCCCGGGCUCAACCUGGGAAUGGCAAUGGAUACUGGCGAGCUAGAGUGUGAUAGAGGAUGGUGGAAUUCCCGGUGUAGCGGUGAAAUGCGUAGAGAUGUGGAGGAACACCGAUGGCGAAGGCAGCCUUCUGGGCCAACACUGACGCUCAUGCACGAAAGCGUGGGGAGCAAACAGG
rnacentral:rRNA from 1 species